AGGACGAACGCUUGCGACGUGCCUAAGAAAUGCAAGUCGAGCGAGGUAGCAAUACCUAGCGGCGAACGGUCGCGUAACACGUAAGCAACCUGCCCCAAAGACCGGGACAACGUUCCGAAAGGAGCGCUAAUACCGGAUGUGCCCACCGUGUGACAUCGCGUGGUGAGUAAAUCGAGCAAUCGGCUUUGGGAGGGGCUUGCGGCCUAUCAGCUAGAUGGUGGGGUAACGGCCUACCAUGGCGACGACGGGUAGCUGGUCUGAGAGGAUGGUCAGCCGGAUUGGGACUGAGAUACGGCCCAGACUCCUACGGGGGGCAGCAAUUAGGAAUCUUGCGCAAUGGGCGAAAGCCUGACGCAGCGACGUCGCGUGGGGGAGGAAGGCUUUCGGUGUAACCCUUUAUCGAGGAAGAAACAAUGACGGUACUCGAUGAAUAAGCCCGGCUAACUCCGUGCCAGCAGCCGC
rnacentral:rRNA from 1 species